rnacentral:lncRNA from 1 species
UCAUGGUGUAUGCAUGACUGUGAGCUUACAUAAAUGGGAUUUUGUCCACCAGCUUGCAUUAGCGAAAGCCCUAUCUAGUCUUUCCUUAAGCCAUGCAUUUGUGCCUUUACUAUUUUCUCAUGUAAAUUUACCACCACAUAACUCUAAUUCUGAGAGGUGACAAUCAUAAAUAGCAUUGUGGAAACCAUUCAUCAAACUCUGUGGAUGGGGAGUAUUGCCUCUAUAAUGCACCCGGGCAAGGGAGAAAGAUUUGCUAAACUGCAUAUGAGAUUCCAUGAUUUUCGUCUUCUUUCACAUUCAGGACAAC